GUGCACAUUGGAUUGGAUUUGGAGGAGGCCGUCAUACUAUAUUAAAAGUUAGAACUCAAAACCCCGACUCUAAUACCAAAAGUCUUUUUGUAUAGAUAUGCCCAUUCUUGUUGCUCCUUGGAUUGAUUUUGAUGAUUACAAAGCAUUUGAAGGGGUACUAUUGAUUUUCGCUUGAAAAAGACUUAUUGCUCUUCAGGGGUAAAAUCAUAAUUUUAUCAAACCCUGAUUUGAA
rnacentral:lncRNA from 1 species